CGCGGGGUGGGGUGGGCCGCGAGGUCGGAGGUCAGCCGCAAGGCAUCACGGGAAGGGCGGCGGGGUCGCGGCCGGCGGCGGGGGGUUGGACGCGCUCGCCGGCCACCUGCGGCUGCGGCGCGGCCCUGGCGGAGGGAUCUGGGCAAAGGCGGCGCGUGAUUGGAUGGCGGGCCGCACAGCAGCCGCGCCGGGAUGCCUCCGCGCGCCGCGGCCAGGUGCGAGCCCGGGGCGGGGCGGGGCCGAGGGGCGGCGCUUAGCCUCCCGGUUGCGGAUUUGGGAGCCGAGGAGCCGACGCUUUGUCUUCCGUCCUGAAGUGCAGCCUCCCGGCCGCUCGGCUCAUCCCUGACUUGACAUCUCGAGGCGCAGCGGAGGCGCUCUUGGCAGAUGGAGGCUGUGCCUUUGUCAGCAGCUCCGGGGGCACCUUGCCGACCCAGAAACGAGAGGAAGGCUCACCCGGAGUGGUUUUAAGGAACCGAAAGAAUGGAAGGGAGGGGGAGAGACGGAGAGAAAGAAACAUCAAUGUGAGAGGGACACAUCGAUGGGUUGCUUCCCACACUUGCCCCCCAGGGCUGGGGAUGGAGCCUGCAACCAAGAGAUGAGCUACAUGGUCCCUCUUCUCUGAAGUCAAAUGUGGACAUGUGAUUGAGUUCCAGAUAGUGCUGAUGGAGAGAGAGGCAGGGAACAUGCAUACUGGACUGUGACAGGAGUGUAAACCCUGAAGGGGUAGGAGAGCAGAUGAAGAGGCAGGAAAUUAUUGGACCUACAGAUCACCACAUGACUAAUGCAUUGUCUGUGAUUUUCAUUUUCAAGUUUCUGAAGUGGAGUGGGAAUUUAAUGACACCUGUCAAGCAUCUGAUCCUUCAGCUGUUGAAUGAUUUUCCCAGUCUUAUACAUUUUUUUGCCCACAUCUGUUUGAACAGCCAUUAUUUUUAGUGGCUCACCUUUAUUGAACAUUCCACUUAGUUUUCAUUAAAAUAACUUUUUC